GUGCCCAGUUUGGCAGCACAUUACUAAAAUCAGAACAAUGCAGAGAAGAGCAGCAUGGCCCCCGGGCAAGGAUGACACAGAUUCAUGAAGUGUCCCAUAGUUUA
ensembl:snRNA U6 U6 spliceosomal RNA